CCAAUGUAGAGAUGGCGGCAGUGCAUGAAACUUGUUUAUGUUACAGGACACCUAUGCGAUCUAUGCAAGAAUAAAAACACCUCUUGAUUUUAGAAUUAUUAAAAUUUUUGAACGGUUAAUGGUGUCCAACCAAUUAUAUUUAUGUUUCUGAUGGUUUCUUCAACAUUUUUCGUAUGUUUAUUGGAAAGUAGAUUUCGGAAAAAAAAAAAAAAUUAAAUGAUGUAAUUAAUACUCAAGAUUUUUCUAUCCACAUAUAUCGAUUAUGGCCAUCAUUAGAAAAUAAUACUAGAGAUAUGAAUAUAUAAGGGCUACAUAUAACUAUGUUUUGAUUCAAGUACAAUAAUAAUUCAUCUUUAUUAAUAUGAGAAACGGACUGAUUUCUAUCAAGAUGAGAAUAGUUAACCUCCACCUAAAGGGGUAAAGUUAUACCUUUUACUUAUUAAAUGUAAUUUGGUACAGAAAUAAUCUGAACACAACUGUGUUGAAAACACCAGAAUAUUCCAAGAGUUGAAACAGUACUGGAUUUUGUUAGUGACACGGGAAGAGAGAGAUUUUUUAUCACUAACGUAUUAUCACGAAUUCAACAAACAUCGCACUCGUGAAGUGGAGAUUAUGAAAUUCGUCCGCUAUUAAAAUCCACAUCAUAGUGGCAAGUCGUCAGGUUUCAUUGCCCUGUUCUUUUUAAGGAAUCUAGCAAAAAAAGGCUAAUUAUCGUUAUCUUAUGCAAGAAAGAUAUGGGUAAUAAGAUAUGAGUUCUAAUUUUUCUCUGUUACAGAUCUAGUGAUAGUGACAAGGGAAACACAACUGUCCUGUAUUGAAGACAUAUCGAUAGUAGCAUGUGAGCUGUUUUGUACUGUGUACAGCUAUGUCAAUAGUAAAAGGUGGGCAAUUAUUACUUAAUGUUACAGACAAUAAGAAGUAUGCUAGCAGGAGAAGAGUGGUUACAGGUAGCAGGAGGUGAGUAGUAGUUAUUUAGUGUUACAAAUGUAUAGAGGUGAGUUGUUACAGAUAGAGAUAGCAGAAGGUGACUUAAUGGUCAUGGUUUUAUUUUUAUGUGAAUUGUAUUAAGUAUUACGUGAUCAAAUUACAAAAUAUACAAAUUUAUACAAUAAAUUUGACAAUUACACUCAUUAUACCCAAUUUUUUUUACAUAACAGUUAAAAGGCCUUAAAAUAGUUUACUAUAUUUUCAAUUUUAAAACAUCGAUAUAAAACUUGUUGAGACGUCAUGGUAAAACUUAAUUACAGAACGUCAGUCAUAAAGAGGGUUCUCUCAACAACUAGUGUGUGGUUUCAAGUUUGUUUAGUACUGCAAUUGUUCUAUGGAGUUACAACGCAAAAAAUCCGGAGUUCGAUUCUCCAUAGAAGACAGAGUAAAAACAGCCCAGUGUGUAG